AUUGAACGCUGGCGGCAUGCCUAACACAUGCAAGUCGAACGGCAGCACAGCAGAGCUUGCUCUGUGGGUGGCGAGUGGCGGACGGGUGAGUAAUGCAUCGGGACCUACCCAGACGUGGGGGAUAACGUAGGGAAACUUACGCUAAUACCGCAUACGUCCUACGGGAGAAAGCGGGGGACCUUCGGGCCUCGCGCGGUUGGAUGGACCGAUGUUCGAUUAGCUAGUUGGUAGGGUAAUGGCCUACCAAGGCGACGAUCGAUAGCUGGUCUGAGAGGAUGAUCAGCCACACUGGGACUGAGACACGGCCCAG
rnacentral:rRNA from 1 species